UGAAAUAUAAACCAAACUGUAAAACUAAGGAUGAAACAAAUGAUUUAGGAAGACACAAAACCUUUCUUAACAUCUCAUUUUCUGUUCUCCUUCCUUUUCACAAUGCAUUACUGCAGCGCUGCGGAGUAGGUUGGAGCUAUCUAAAUAUUUUAACAGAUAUAAGGGAUUGUGCUCUCAAGCGGGCUGCAGGGGUGGCUAACUGUGGUACUGUCUAAUAAAUGCCCAUUGCCCAGUCACACCGUACCACGAAUAGCCAUGGCUGCCCUGGACUGUCACUUUGUAAUCCCUGAUCACAAAUGGGACACCUGCUAGUAAUGUGUUUUAUAUAUUUUUG